UCCUGUGAUGAGAGUAAUUUGCGAUUGAUGCUGUUACGGUGGGACCCUUUCGCCGGGUGUCCUAUACCUUUCAGUAUGUGAUAGUAUAUUCUUACAUAUUCUGAGU
rfam:Sordaria macrospora k-hell, WGS project CABT02000000 data, contig: 2.8